rnacentral:rRNA from 1 species
UAUGAACCUGGUUUAUAACUUAUUCGAUUAAUUUACAACCUACUAUUAAAUCCUAAAUUUAUUAGCUUUAAGUUACUGCAUUUCAGUCUCCCUUGGUUGGGCUGCAUGUUAUUUGGGAAAAAUUUAAAUGUUAAUUUAUUUUUUAACAACCACACACAAACAUUAACCAAGUAAACAAAAUUGAGGAUUAUCAAAUUAAGCACCAAAAUUCUCUAAAAAGAAUAAACCACUGCCAUGUAGUUUAGGUUUAUUUUACUACCUAAAAUUAUUUCAUACCUGGAUUCUACCCCAGUUUUGUAGCUUGAUUUUAAUAUUUUAACCCUUUUUCCCAUAUCCUUAAAACUGAAAAAGAAAGAAAGUUUAAAAUUAUCCAUUAAAUAAAAUUUAAUUUAAAAGUA